rnacentral:lncRNA from 10 species
UGCAGGGGAGGCAGACGUGGCUUCUGUCCUAGGUUCAGGCCCCUCUGGAGAUGGUGACGUGGACAGGCCCCUCCCCUGCCUGGGCCUCAGUUUCUCCAAGUAUAAAGGAGAGAGGCCUGUGGGUGGGAAAGUUCCUUUCAGCUCUGACCUCCUGGGAGAGGAGAACUCCCAGGGAAGCCUCCCAGGACCCGAUUCCGCAGGGGCCUGUCCUGUCCCACCUGCAGCAGUGACGGUGACCUGGGGCAGGGGAGGGGAGCAGGGCUGUGGUUCAGGACGGUCAGGCUCUUUCCCUGCAUCUCUGGGGCUCAGCUCUGGUGCAGGGAACAAGGGCUGCGGGUCAGACUCCCGGGUUCCCUUCCCAGCUCUGCCGCUUCCUGGCUGGGGGUCCUGGGGCAGGCGAUUCCCCUCUCUGAGCCUCAGUUUGUGCAUCUGUGAAAUGGGUUGUGGGGGCGGCAAUUCCAUGUUGCACAACUGCUUGUAAGGGUUGGAGGUCUUGAAGGAAAGACCUGGCACGCGCCUGCACACAGUAGGUGCUCACGUCAAUGACGUCAUUCCCACUCCUGUUAUCAUGCUCAAGGUCUGGGAAGAUACCUGGAGGCUUUGAUUGGGGUCUCGGUGGCCUUCGUCCUGCUGCUCUUCCUCCUCCUCUUCCUCGUCCUCCGACGUCAACGUCAGAGCAAACACAAGAUAUCGGACCAGAGAAAGACUGAUUUCCAGCGUCCUGCAGGGGCUGCGGAGCCAGAGCCCAAGGACAGGGGCCUGCUGAGGAGGUCCAGCGCAGCUGCUGACGUCCAGGAAGAAAACCUCUAUGCUGCCGUGAAGGACACACAGCCUGAGGACGGGGUGGAGCUGGACAGUCAGGUGAGACCCCGCCCCUGUCCCGGGCACCAAAGGCCUCCUGGUGCCAGAUCUAAUCCUGCAGGACUUCUCUGUCCUCUUCACCCGGUUCUCAGCAUCAUCACGGUGGACCCCUCCUUGUCCAGCACGCUGCCUCCCGCCUGCUGUGACCUCACUCUCUCCUGCUGUCCUGGGACCUCGCGGGCCUCCUCCCGGGUCCCCUUCCUGCUCCUCCUCCUCUGUUUGGCCGUCUGGUGGCCGUCUGGUUGUUAGAGCGCUCCCCAGGCCUCAGGAGGAUGAGGAAUAGAUGAACCACCCCGGUCCCCUGGGCUCCGCUUCAUUCAUUCAUCCAGCCAGUGUUCCCAGGAGCUCACUGUGGAUCGGGCUCCCUGUGGGAGCUGCAGACACAGCAGGGAGCAGAGCCACGCCCGCCUCCUGAGCUCACCUCGUGGUGGGAGACAAAAUGCAAAUAAAUGCACCGUGUCCAGGAGUGCAACGUGCUGUAAGAAACAUAAACCAGGGAAAGGGCAGAGAGUGUGGGGCAGUGGGGCCAGUCUGAAUGUAAGGGGAGGGCUGUCUGCUCAGCUGUCAUCUGAGAAGCCUGGACGGAGGGGGCCACAGGAUCCUCUAAUGGACGAGCCCCUGCAGGCAGAAGAAACAGCCGUGCAAAGGCCCCGAGGCAGCAGCGAGCUCUUGCAGGAAGGCCGUGUGAGGCUGCAGCCAAAUGGGCAAGGUCAGAGUGAGGAGGAGAGGCCAGAACCACAGGGAGGGAGCGGCCAGACCCUCCACGGCCUUCGGGCGUCCCUGAGAUUCCAUCAGGAAAGGGAUGUAGUCGAAUCAUCCUGGGAACAGUGAAGAAAAUUGACUCCAGGGGGUCAGGGGGACUCAAGGACACCCCCCACCAGUGUCUCUCUCCAGCAGAGCCCACACGAUGAAGACCCCCAGGCAGUGACGUACGCCCGGGUGAAACACUCCGGACCUAGGAGAGAAAUGACCUCCCCUCCCUCCCCACUGUCCGAGGAAUUCCUGGACACAAAGGACACACAGGUGGAAGAGGACAGGCAGAUGGACACUCAGGCUGGUCCUUUCCUCU